GCCUAUUGGACGUCUUCACAUUUGCAGGUUUCACUUGAAGGCAGCACCACGCUCCCUGUAGUUACUCCCUGUCGCCACACUCCGGUCCAGUAGGGGGAGAUAGUGCGCCCGCCUAUGAGCUGUUUCCCCCGAAGAAGAAGAAGAAGAAGAAGCAGAAGAUGUCAGUUAGCGGGCUAACCGUCUACGGUUAACGCUAACCCACAACGCUAGAAAAGUUAACAAACUCAGUCGUUUCUGGAAAGGGACACACUUUUACAACAAGUUCAAUACAUAAAACAAGCAAAUGAAGAACCGUACUGCUGCAACAGUGACUUUAAAGACGGAAACGAAGAUUUUUAAGGACACGUCGUACACUUUGGAGCUAAUGUCGUUGACCGCUAGCUAGCGGUUAGCGAUAAUGAGCUAACUUAGCUAGCUAGCUAGCGGUUAGCGAUAAUGAGCUAACCGUUAUCUAGCUAGUGGUUAGCGAUAAUUAGCAAUAUUGAGCUAACUUAGCUAGCUACAGGCUUUGUCCAACGGCUGCCGGAUUACACCUGCUCAAAGGGCCGGAGUGUCAUCAAGGUGGAAGCAACAAAACACCUAGUACAGGACCCGCGGCGGCGUCACAGUCCGGCGGCGGCGGUGAGCGACAGGCCACUGGACCAGAGCUCUGACUCGUCAGCAGCCGGCAGCCGAUUGGUCGACCCAGUCCCACAGGUGGACGGAGCCGUCCGAGGCGGCGGACAGCAGCGUCCGCGGCCGCUCGGGGUGCCACGCGUGGGCGGAGACGAAGACGUCGUCCGACGGCGACGAGACGGCGUGACCGCGGUGCUCGAACAGCGGCUGGACGUCCCCCCGCUGCUCCGUCCUCCAGACGGACGUCUCGUAGAUCUGGAC